rnacentral:tRNA from 1 species
GCCGGCGUGGCGGAAUUGGUAGACGCACUUGACUCAAAAUCAAGCGGGAAACCGUGGGGGUUCGAGUCCCCCCGCCGGCA